rnacentral:rRNA from 1 species
GCAGUCGAACGAUGAAGCCCUUCGGGGUGGAUUAGUGGCGAACGGGUGAGUAACACGUGGGCAAUCUGCCCUUCACUCUGGGACAAGCCCUGGAAACGGGGUCUAAUACCGGAUAACACUCCUCCUCGCAUGGGGAGGGGUUGAAAGCUCCGGCGGUGAAGGAUGAGCCCGCGGCCUAUCAGCUUGUUGGUGAGGUAGUGGCUCACCAAGGCGACGACGGGUAGCCGGCCUGAGAGGGCGACCGGCCACACUGGGACUGAGACACGGCCCAGACUCCUACGGGAGGCAGCAGUGGGGAAUAUUGCACAAUGGGCGAAAGCCUGAUGCAGCGACGCCGCGUGAGGGAUGACGGCCUUCGGGUUGUAAACCUCUUUCAGCAGGGAAGAAGCGAAAGUGACGGUACCUGCAGAAGAAGCGCCGGCUAACUACGUGCCAGCAGCCGCGGUAAUACGUAGGGCGCAAGCGUUGUCCGGAAUUAUUGGGCGUAAAGAGCUCGUAGGCGGCCUGUCGCGUCGGUUGUGAAAGCCCGGGGCUUAACCCCGGGUCUGCAGUCGAUACGGGCAGGCUAGAGUGUGGUAGGGGAGAUCGGAAUUCCUGGUGUAGCGGUGAAAUGCGCAGAUAUCAGGAGGAACACCGGUGGCGAAGGCGGAUCUCUGGGCCAUUACUGACGCUGAGGAGCGAAAGCGUGGGGAGCGAACAGGAUUAGAUACCCUGGUAGUCCACGCCGUAAACGGUGGGAACUAGGUGUUGGCGACAUUCCACGUCGUCGGUGCCGCAGCUAACGCAUUAAG